rnacentral:rRNA from 1 species
CUCCGGUUGAUCCCGCCGGACCCGACUGCUAUCAGAGUGGGACUAAGCCAUGCGAGUCAACAUAGCAAUAUGUGGCAUACGGCUCAGUAACACGUAGUCAACAUGCCCAGGGGACGAGGAUAACCUCGGGAAACUGAGGAUAAACCUCGAUAGGCCAUGAUUUCUGGAAUGAUUCUUGGCUCAAACCUAUAUGGCCCCUGGAUUGGACUGCGGCCGAUCAGGCUGUUGGUGAGGUAAUGGCCCACCAAACCUAUUACCGGUACGGGCUCUGAGAGGAGGAGCCCGGAGAUGGGCACUGAGACAAGGGCCCAGGCCCUAUGGGGCGCAGCAGGCGCGAAACCUCUGCAAUAGGCGAAAGCUUGACAGGGUUACUCUGAGUGAUUUCCGCUAAGGGAAUCUUUUGGCACCUCUAAAAAUGGUGCAGAAUAAGGGGUGGGCAAGUCUGGUGUCAGCCGCCGCGGUAAUACCAGCACCCCGAGUGGUCGGGACGAUUAUUGGGCCUAAAGCAUCCGUAGCCGGUCCUGCAAGUCUUCCGUUAAAUCCAGCUGCUCAACAGAUGGGCUGCGGGAGAUACUACAGGGCUAGGAGGCGGGAGAGGCAAGCGGUACUUUAUGGGUAGGGGUAAAAUCCGCUGAUCCAUAGAAGACCACCAGUGGCGAAGGCGGCUUGCCAGAACGCGCUCGACGGUGAGGGAUGAAAGCUGGGGGAGCAAACCGGAUUAGAUACCCGGGUAGUCCCAGCUGUAAACGAUGCAGACUCGGUGAUGGGUUGGCCUCGCGCCUGCCCAGUGCCGCAGGGAAGCCGUUAAGUCUGCCGCCUGGGUAGUACGGUCGCAAGACUGAAACUUAAAGGAAUUGGCGGGGGAGCA